rnacentral:lncRNA from 1 species
AAGAUAGAGGAGAGUGUUGCCCAUAAAGAUAACCCAAGAGGGGGGUGAUUGGGUUUUUCGAAUAUUUAAACUUCCUAUGCAUAAUUAUCAAACUGUGGAGUGUGGUGAGUGAAUACUAGAUGAUAAAUAUAAAAAUAAUAAGUAAAUAAGAAGCAAUGUAAAGAAAUAAGAAGCCAUAAACAAACACCAAAUUUUUAUAGUAGUUCAGUGCCAAAUUUAGCACUUACGUCUACUCCCUAAGCCAUCCUUAAAAAUUCCAUUAUCAUCUCCUU